rnacentral:rRNA from 1 species
CCUACGGGUGGCAGCAGUGAGGAAUAUUGGUCAAUGGUCGCGAGACUGAACCAGCCAAGUAGCGUGCAGGAUGACUGCCCUAUGGGUUGUAAACUUCUUUUAUACGGGAAUAAAAUGCUCCACGUGUGGUAUUUUGUAUGUACCAUAUGAAUAAGGACCGGCUAACUCCGUGCCAGCAGCCGCGGUAAUACGGAGGAUCCGGGCGUUAUCCGGAUUUAUUGGGUUUAAAGGGAGCGUAGGCGGAAUGUUAAGUCAGCUGUGAAAUUUUGUGGCUCAACCAUGACAUUGCAGUGGCAACUGGCAGUCUUGAGUGCACUAGAGGUAGGCGGAAUUCGUGGUGUAGCGGUGAAAUGCUUAGAUAUCACGAAGAACUCCGAUUGCGAAGGCAGUUUACUGGAGUGCAACUGACGCUGAGGCUCGAAAGUGUGGGUAUCGAACAGGAUUAGAUACCCUUGUAGUC